rnacentral:rRNA from 1 species
GAUGAACGCUGGCGGCGUGCCUAAUACAUGCAAGUCGAGCGAACAGACGAGGAGCUUGCUCCUCUGACGUUAGCGGCGGACGGGUGAGUAACACGUGGAUAACCUACCUUUAAGACUGGGAUAACUUCGGGAAACCGGAGCUAAUACCGGAUAAUAUAUUGAACCGCAUGGUUCAAUAGUGAAAGACGGUUUUGCUGUCACUUAUAGAUGGAUCCGCGCCGCAUUAGCUAGUUGGUAAGGUAACGGCUUACCAAGGCAACGAUGCGUAGCCGACCUGAGAGGGUGAUCGGCCACACUGGAACUGAGACACGGUCCAGACUCCUACGGGAGGCAGCAGUAGGGAAUCUUCCGCAAUGGGCGAAAGCCUGACGGAGCAACGCCGCGUGAGUGAUGAAGGUCUUCGGAUCGUAAAACUCUGUUAUUAGGGAAGAACAAAUGUGUAAGUAACUAUGCACGUCUUGACGGUACCUAAGCAGAAAGCCACGGCUAACUACGU